UUGAAAAGAACUUUGAAGAGAGAGUUCAAGAGUACGUGAAACCGUUCAGGGGUGAACCUGAGAAACCCGAAAGAUCGAACGGGGAGAUUCAUCGUCAGCGACGCAGGCUUCGCCGCGGCUCGUGAUGUCGGGACCUCGCGUCCACGGCACUCGGUCGCGGUGCAAUGUCCGGUGGCGCCGUCGUGCACUUCUCCCCUAGUAGGACGUCGCGACCCGUUGGGUGUCGGUCUAAGGCCCGGUCGGSUGCCUGUCUCGGCGUUCGCGUCGGGGCAGACCCCCGGUUGCCCGUCSGKSUGCKCGGGGAUACRCGCACGGUAUGAGAGCCGCUUUGUACUGCGUCGGGCCCGCCGCAAGCGCGGUCCGCGAUUCCCGGUGGUCGGACCCAGCGCCGURCCCGGGCCUGGCCAGCUGUUGGCUGGCGGUGUCCUCUCGCUGGCUUGUGWKAAUUUUUCAGAUACCGGUCGGCGACGCUAUUGCUUUGGRUACUUU
rnacentral:rRNA from 1 species